rnacentral:rRNA from 1 species
AUUGAACGCUGGCGGCAGGCUUAACACAUGCAAGUCGAACGAUGAAGAUAUAGCUUGCUAUAUCGGAUUAGUGGCGGACGGGUGAGUAACACUUAGGAAUCUACCUUUUAGCGGGGGAUAGCUCGGGGAAACUCGAAUUAAUACCGCAUAAUUUCUACGGAAUAAAGAGGGCUUUUAGCUCUCACUAGAAGAUGAGCCUAAGUAAGAUUAGCUAGUUGGUGGGGUAAAAGCCUACCAAGGCGACGAUCUUUAGCUGGUCUGAGAGGAUGAUCAGCCACACUGGGACUGAGACACGGCCCAGACUCCUACGGGAGGCAGCAGUGGGGAAUAUUGGACAAUGGGGGCAACCCUGAUCCAGCCAUGCCGCGUGUGUGAAGAAGGCCUUUUGGUUGUAAAGCACUUUAAGCAGUGAAGAAGACCUAUUGGUUAAUACCCAAUAGCGAUGACAUUAACUGCAGAAUAAGCACCGGCUAACUCUGUGCCAGCAGCCGCGGUAAUACAGAGGGUGCAAGCGUUAAUCGGAAUUACUGGGCGUAAAGCGAGCGUAGGUGGUUAAAUAAGUCAGAUGUGAAAGCCCUGGGCUCAACCUAGGAACUGCAUCUGAAACUAUUUAACUAGAGUAGGUGAGAGGGAAGUAGAAUUUCAGGUGUAGCGGUGAAAUGCGUAGAGAUCUGAAGGAAUACCGAUGGCGAAGGCAGCUUCCUGGCAUCAUACUGACACUGAGGCUCGAAAGCGUGGGUAGCAAACAGG